GAAAUGCGAUAAUUAAUGUGAAUUGCAGAAUUCAGUGAAUCAUCGAGUCUUUGAACGCACAUUGCGCCCCCUGGUAUUCCGGGGGGCAUGCCUGUCCGAGCGUCAUUGCUGCCCUCAAGCACGGCUUGUGUGUUGGGCUUCCGUCCCUGGAACGGGGACGGGCCCAAAAGGCAGUGGCGGCACCAUGUCUGGUCCUCGAGCGUAUGGGGCUUUGUCACCCGCUCCCGUAGGUCCAGCUGGCAGCUAGCCUCGCAACCAAUCUUUUUAACCAGGUUGACCUCGGAUCAGGUAGGGAUACCCGCUGAACUUAAGC
rnacentral:misc_RNA from 1 species